AGAACGUCGUGAGACAGUUCGGUCCCUAUCUGCCGUGGGCGUUGGAAGAUUGAAGGGGGCUGCUCCUAGUACGAGAGGACCGGAGUGGACGAACCUCUGGUGUUCGGGUUGUGUCGCCAGACGCAUUGCCCGGUAGCUAAGUUCGGAAUUGAUAAGCGCUGAAAGCAUCUAAGCGCGAAGCGAGCCCUGAGAUGAGUCUUCCCUGACAGUUUAACUGUCCUAAAGGGUUGUUCGAGACUAGAACGUUGAUAGGCAGGGUGUGUAAGCGUUGUGAGGCGUUGAGCUAACCUGUACUAAUUGCCCGUGAGGCUUAACCAU
rnacentral:rRNA from 1 species